rnacentral:rRNA from 1 species
UACGUAGGUGGCAAGCGUUGUCCGGAUUUACUGGGCGUAAAGCGCGUGUAGGCGGCCCUGCAAGUCGGGUGUGAAAUCCCACGGCUCAACCGUGGAAGUGCACUCGAAACUGCAGGGCUAGAGUCCUGGAGAGGAAGGUGGAAUGCUUGGUGUAGAGGUGAAAUUCGUAGAUAUCAAGCGGAACACCGGUGGCGAAGGCGGCCUUCUGGACAGUGACUGACGCUGAGACGCGAAAGCGUGGGGAGCAAACAGG